rnacentral:tRNA from 1 species
GGCUGGAACUCUAGCUCAGUGGUAGAGCACUUUCCUAGCAUGUAUAAGUCACUGAGUUCGAUUCUCAGCAAGGCA